UUGGCUUCACUCUGCCCAUGUUUGACAUUUUUUCCUACAUUCUUUUGAAUGUCUAGGGAAUAACAUAAAAUAUCAGAUCCCACGAGUGAACCUUCUACCAUCAUUUACACAUGACUGGCCAUGUAAUACAAAGCAAUGUGAUAACGUGAAAUUAAAAAUGACCUUAUAUGGCGACAGGCAUUAUUUCGACUCAACUGUUCAACAACAAGGAACUGUACAGUUAGAUAUCAGAGAGAGGACAGGAGCAACACGUUUCUGUGCCAACUGUGGAGUCUGUUUAAUAGCCAAAGGCAGCACUCUCUCUCUCUCUCUCUCUCUCCCACACACACACACACACACACACACACACAAAGGAAGCGAGAAAGCACAAACAGCAGUCCAGACAAGUCCAAACAUUAAGGUCAGUAUCUGACAGUAGCUGUGCCAACGCUGAUAUAAAUGUUACUUAAGUGCCUGAGUCUCUGUCUCACUCGCUCUCCCUCUCUCCCACACACACACACACACACACACACACACACACACACACACACAGACGUAUGCAUCUCUCAUGGUGAGUCAGCUCAAAGCUGCUUGCACAGUGAAACUAUCCUUGGUUAAUCUGUUUUACGUCCCGAGCAACUUUAAGGGCAACAGUGCUGGAGAAGGACAUCCACGUGUGUGUCUGGCGGAAAUCAGAGCCUCUUCCUCUACGAGUGGAAACACACUAUGACAUCAUCCAAAACAACACGAGGGGAUUCAACCCCUGGUCCUGUAGGAGAUAACCCAAAUAUUGGAUUGACCAGUCUAAAACCUUCACUUUUCCCCCACUGAUGAAGGCCUAUGUUGAGUUGGCAGUGUGUUUUGGGUCACUUAUAAAAUUCCUCCUGAUUAAUUUGGAUGGGCAGAGAAUGUUUCUGUAAACUUCUGAAUUCAUUCUGCGGCUACCAUCAUGAGUUCCAUCAUCAAUAAAGAUUAGCGAGACUGUUCCAGAAGCAGCCAUACAAACCCAAGCCGUGACACUACCAACAACUCAGUCACCUGAACUGCAUAGUGCAUUUGUCUCUUCAUUAUGGUGUCCAUGUUCUGGGUGUGACAGUGUGGUGACCCCUUAAAAAAAUUGGGGUUCAGUAACAGUAAUCCAACAGGUAUUUCUCCUAAAGGAGUCAUUCAUGGGUUAUUUUUGAGAUCCUUUUUCAACAGGUUAGUGUUGGAGCCUCUACAAGGUUUGGUGUUAAAACUGUUUCAGGAACCCCCAACCUAAAUGUCCCUUUCAAUAAUGUACAGGUGCGUCUAAAAGAAAUUUGAAUACUGUGGAAUUAUUAUUUUUCACCAUGUUUCACAGAUGAACUUGUAUGUUUUGGAUCAUGAGCAGAUCCUUUCUUUCGGCACACUUUGGCCUUGGUUCCAGAACUCUUGUGGCUCAUCUCUAUAUUUCUCUGCAAAUUCCAAUCUGGCGUUCCAGUUCUUACUGCUGAUGAGUGGUUUGUAGUAUGACUUCUAUAUGUCUGCUCUUGAAGUCUUCUUCGAACAGUAGAUUGUGAUACCUUCACCCCUGCCCUGUGGAGGUUGUUGGUGAUGUCACUGACUGUUGUUAUGGGGUUUUUCUCCACAGCUCUCACAAUGUUUCUGACAUCAACUGUUGUUAUUUUCAUUGGCCGACCCAAUUUGUGUCUGUCUGUCCAAAUUGUCGCAUUGGCUAUGCCCGAUGCUUGUGCUAUGCCUCUGAUUGGUUUCCCCUCUUUUCUUUGACACUAAAGCCUAAAAUCAAGCGUAGAUGUUCAGAACUAGUUAUUCUUUAUACAAUCAAUCUAACAGUACACACCUGGGUAACACCUGUCAGUCACAUGUUCCAAUAUUUUUGCUCACUUACAAAAUUAUACAAAAUGUGCUAUGUUCUAUGUCACACAUCUACAUAUAAAUACCCGGAAAAUAAAUACCAGGAAAUUCAUCUUUUGAUCUCACGCCUAAAUGUCUUCAGUCUACAGCAAAAACAAAUUAUUUGAACUUGCCGUUUCAACAGUUUCAGAGGGGACUGUAAGCUAAUAACUGAAACUAAACUCAUUUUUCUACAUAAUUCAGAGAAGCAGCUCUUUCCGGCAUGCUUUUUAAACUUUCAUGGCUGUCUCAGAAUUAUGAGACAAAGCUGUGCCUUCAGUGAAAGAGAGAUAUGCAGCAUUCAAAUUUGCUGCCUCCCAAAUGAACUGCAGGGAUAGCGGAAGGUCCACGAUAAUCUUUAUCAUGAUACCCAAAAACAUGAAAUGUUGGAUUACAGAUUAUUAGCACAUGGCCAAAUCUAACAGAAUGGUGGGGAAAUAUUACAUUCUUAGUUAUAUUAUAAUCUGACAUUUCAAUUAAAAAUAAGAAUGAAAUAAAUAUAAACUCUAACACACAUUACUAAAGAUAAAUAAAAACGUUAGGCUAGGGGUAUAUAAUUAUUAGUAUAACCUCUUAAACGUCCAGUAAGUAUUUCAGUUAUUCAGACUAAAGCAUAAUAUUCAGUAGCUACUAUGAAUUCAGAAAUGUGCGUAGUUAGUGGGUUGAACAUUGCCCUUGAAUUUGAAUGAAGUUGUUAAACAAAUCAAUAUUGAAAUGCUUCUGAACAUUAAUGAGCCCAUAACUUUCUGCUAAAUAAAC
ensembl:lncRNA